GCCCCGGUAGCUCAGUGGUAGAGCGUCCGGCUGUUAACCGGAAGAUCGCAGGUUCGAAUCCUGCCCGGGGCG
rnacentral:tRNA from 1 species